rnacentral:other from 1 species
GUCUGGCUGCGGCGUUGGUGACUGCCAAUAUUGUUUUGUGAUCUACAAUUACAAAACAUAUGGGAAUCAUCACCGUGGGUGGCAGUAAACUGACCCUAGAGUUAGAAACUUUUAAGCCUGCGGUUAAAAUUCCCCCCUAGUUUCUACUAGGUCAUAAACUGAGGUAAAACGGCGCUGCGGUUAGGCG